rnacentral:tRNA from 4 species
GCGGGAGUAGUUCAAUUGGUUAGAGCGCCGCCCUGUCACGGCGGAAGUUGCGGGUUCGAGCCCCGUCUCCCGCG